rnacentral:lncRNA from 1 species
AAUGAAACCUCUUUUCCAUCCAGAAGCACUGCUGACUGUUUGGUGGUUGCUGUUAGGGCAGUGAGCCUUUUGUCCAUUCUGAGAUUAGGCUGGUUUCUCCUCUUGGCCCUGGCCUACAGACCAUAAAGGAAAACAGCAAGAGGUCCCCAGCAAACAUCUACAGAUGGCCCUGGACAUCAGCCACAUUCAGAGAAACGUGUCAUGUUCUGGGAGGGCUAAGGCAUCGAGAAUCCCAGUGAAUAUAUUGCCACCAUCUUGGAGCUCAGUGCCCUCAUAGUGUAACAGCACCAGCAGAUCUGCCUGUGCACAGACUUCCUGUACUACCUCACUCCUGAGGGGAGAUGCUUCUGCAGGGCCUGCGACCUGGUGCACAACUUUAGACACCAUCAUCCUGGAGCGGCACUGCACCCUCACUAGCCAGGGUGUUGAUGACUUCCUCAAUGCCAAGGCCACGUUCAAGAUUUUCGACUUCAGUGAUGCGUUUGUGCUGAGCAAGCCAAGAGACCCAAGCCUGCCUUGCUGCCACUUAGGAUAUGACAGCACAGCCAGUGGCCUCUACUGGAUCCUGGUACCCCUCAGAAGACACCCAGACACUGGGAGUGCUGCCACCUCGUGGUGCAAGAGUUCUGAGGGACGGCAAUUCUGAAGACAUUGAAUGCCGUUUUGCACACCCUGGUCAGAAUGAAACAUUCCUUGGGAACUCGGGCCGUGAGAAGCAUCCUUCCUGAUCACCUGACUGUAGAAACAUCCUUAUCGCACCCUCCCGGGCAAAGGCCCAACAGCCUGACUGCAGGAACA